GUGUCAGCCGCCGCGGUAAUACGUAGGGUGCGAGCGUUAAUCGGAAUUACUGGGCGUAAAGCGUGCGCAGGUGGUUCGCUAAGACAGAUGUGAAAUCCCCGGGCUCAACCUGGGAACUGCGUUUGUGACUGGCGGGCUAGAGUGCGGAAGAGGGAGGUGGAAUUCCACGUGUAGCAGUGAAAUGCGUAGAGAUGUGGAGGAACACCGAUGGCGAAGGCAGCCUCCUGGUCUAGCACUGACGCUCAUGCACGAAAGCGUGGGGAGCAAACAGGAUUAGAAACCCCCGUAGUCC
rnacentral:rRNA from 1 species